UUUUGCUUGGUGCACUUUCCAAGUGACAGGCCAGCAUCGAUUUUGACCGUCGGAAAAAGUCUUGAAGAAUGUGGCACCUUUGGGUGUGUUUAUAGCUUCGAGUUCGCAUACGAUGGUUGGGAUCGAGGAACGCAGCGCGCCGUAAGGCAGGGGUUUAUGCCCACUUUUGCGCUUAGGAUGCUGGCAUAAUGGCUUUAAACGACCCGUCUUGAAACACGGACCAAGGAGUCUAACAUACCUGCGAGUGUUUGGGUGGAAAACCCGAGCGCGUAAUGAAAGUGAAAG
rnacentral:rRNA from 1 species